CCAAAACGUCUAGCUUCCCCCUCAGUUAAGUGUUCAAAGUGUCCUAACUUCCAGCUUUGAAAUAGGACUGAAGAUGAACCAUGCUCCUGGCACCCCCUGUUGAGAGCCCAAGUUCAGCAGAUUGCAGCCAUGGGGGACUGAAAAUGGAACCCUGGACAAAGACACUUGCUGGGUGACCCAAGGCAAGACUUUCCAUGUACACUAUGAAUGCCAAGUGCUGUGAAUACCAACCCAUGCUUUCAAAGAGCCUGCUGCCUCAGAGCAUGUGAUGUGGAACUUUCUGGUGGCCUGGGCGUGGAGGUUCUCAACCUCAGCUGCACACUGUGUUUAGUUGGUCUGGAGCGAGAUCUAGG
rnacentral:lncRNA from 1 species